UGUCAGUACAUACCUAACAUGGUGAAACCGCGAACGGCUCAUUAUAACAGCUAUAAUUUACUUGAUCUUGAUAUCCUACUUGGAUAACUGUGGUAAUUCUAGAGCUAAUACAUGCAACAAAGCUCCGACUUCUGGANNGAGCGCAUUUAUUAGACCAAAACCAAUCGGCUUCGGCCGUAGUUUGGUGACUCUGAAUAACCUAGCUGAUCGCAUGGUCUCGAACCGGCGACAUGUCUUUCAAGUAUCUGCCUUAUCAACUUUCGAUGGUAGGUUAUGUGCCUACCAUGGUUGUAACGGGUAACGGAGAAUCAGGGUUUGACUCCGGAGAGGCAGCCUGAGAAACGGCUACCACAUCCAAGGAAGGCAGCAGGCGCGCAAAUUACUCACUCUCAGUUCGAGGAAGUAGUAACGAAAAAUAACGAAGAUGUACUCUAUGAGGCCAUCUAUCGGAAUGGGUACAAUUUAAACCCUUUAACGAAAGUCUAUGAGAGGGCAAGUCUGGUGCCAG
rnacentral:rRNA from 1 species